rnacentral:rRNA from 1 species
UACGGAGGGUGCAAGCGUUAUCCGGAUUCACUGGGGUUAAAGGGUGCGUAGGUGGGCAGGUAAGUCAGUGGUGAAAUCUCCGGGCUUAACCCGGAAACUGCCAUUGAUACUAUUUGUCUUGAAUACUGUGGAGGUCAGCGGAAUAUGUCAUGUAGCGGUGAAAUGCUUAGAUAUGACAUAGAACACCAAUUGCGAAGGCAGCUGGCUACACAAAUAUUGACACUGAGGCACGAAAGCGUGGGGAUCAAACAGG